rnacentral:rRNA from 1 species
AGACGAACCGUCCAAACGUUAUUCGGUAUCACUGGGCUUAAAGAGUUCGUAGGCGGCUCCGUAGGUGAGGUGUGAAAUCCCUCGGCUCAACCGAGGAAUUGCGCUUCAAACCGUGGAGCUAGAGGGAGACAGGGGUAAGCGGAACAGAUGGUGGAGCGGUGAAAUGCGUUGAUAUCAUCUGGAACACCGGUGGCGAAGGCGGCUUACUGGGUCUUUUCUGACGCUGAGGAACGAAAGCUAGGGUAGCGAACGGGAUUAGAUACCCCGGUAGUCCUAGCCGUAAACGAUGAGCACUAGUCUGUGGGGACUCUCACAUCCUCUCGGACGUAGCGAAAGUGUUAAGUGCUCCGCCUGGGGAGUAUGGUCGCAAGGCUGAA